CUUCCGCCCCGCCGGGCGUCG
rnacentral:miRNA from 2 species